rnacentral:rRNA from 1 species
GAUUAACGCUGGCGGCAUGCCUAAUACAUGCAAGUCGAACGGAAGCAGCAAUGCUUUAGUGGCGAACGGGUGAGUAACACGUAGGGAACCUACCUAUACGACGAGGAUAACUACUGGAAACGGUAGCUAAAACUGGAUAGGAUCAAUUGAGGCAUCUUGAUUGAUUUAAAGAUCCUUCGGGAUUACGUAGAGAUGGCCCUGCGGCGCAUUAGCUAGUUGGUGAGGUAACGGCCCACCAAGGCGACGAUGCGUAGCUGAGCUGAGAGGCUAAACAGCCACACUGGGACUGAGACACGGCCCAGACUCCUACGGGAGGCAGCAGUAGGGAAUUUUCGGCAAUGGGGGAAACCCUGACCGAGCAAUGCCGCGUGAACGAUGAAGGUCUUCGGAUUGUAAAGUUCUGUGAUUGGGGAAGAAUGGUAUUCUUAGGGAAUGAGGAGUACAUGACGGUACCCGAUUAGAAAGCCCCGGCUAACUAUGUGCCAGCAGCCG